rnacentral:tRNA from 1 species
GUUGCCAAGCCGCGAGGUGGAGCUAAUCCCAUAAAACCGAUCGUAGUCCGGAUCGCAGUCUGCAACUCGACUGCG